GAAAUGCGAUAAGUAAUGUGAAUUGCAGAAUUCCGUGAAUCAUCGAAUCUUUGAACGCACAUUGCGCCCUCUGGUAUUCCGGGGGGCAUGCCUGUCCGAGCGUCAUUGCGAACCCCUCAAGCACGGCUUGUGUGAUGGGCCCUCCCGCGUCUUGGUCGUCAAGACGGGCCCGAAAUGCAGUGGCAGCGUCGCGGUGAUCCGCUAAGCCAGAGCGUAUGGGGACGCUACAGUCACACGCUCGCGGCGCGGACCGGCGCUGGCCGACCCCCCUAACCAUUCUACGGUUUGACCUCGGAUCAGGUAGGGAUACCCGCUGAACUUAAGC
rnacentral:misc_RNA from 1 species